GCGUAAGCGCACGCAGGCGGUCUGUCAAGUCGGAUGUGAAAUCCCCGGGCUCAACCUGGGAACUGCAUUCGAAACUGGCAGGCUAGAGUCUUGUAGAGGGGGGUAGAAUUCCAGGUGUAGCGGUGAAAUGCGUAGAGAUCUGGAGGAAUACCGGUGGCGAAGGCGGCCCCCUGGACAAAGACUGACGCUCAGGUGCGAAAGCGUGGGGAGCAAACAGGAUUAGAUACCCUGGUAGUCCACGCCGUAAACGAUGUCGACUUGGAGGUUGUGCCCUUGAGGCGUGGCUUCCGGAGCUAACGCGUUAAGUCGACCGCCUGGGGAGUACGGCCGCAAGGUUAAAACUCAAAUGAAUUGACGGGGGCCCGCACAAGCGGUGGAGCAUGUGGUUUAAUUCGAUGCAACGCGAAGAACCUUACCUACUCUUGACAUCCAGAGAACUUUCCAGAGAUGGAUUGGUGCCUUCGGGAACUCUGAGACAGGUGCUGCAUGGCUGUCGUCAGCUCGUGUUGUGAAAUGUUGGGUUAAGUCCCGCAACGAGCGCAACCCUUAUCCUUUGUUGCCAGCGGUUAGGCCGGGAACUCAAAGGAGACUGCCAGUG
rnacentral:rRNA from 1 species